AGGACGAACGCUGGCGGCGUGCUUAACACAUGCAAGUCGAGCGGAAAGGCCCUUCGGGGUACUCGAGCGGCGAACGGGUGAGUAACACGUGAGCAACCUGCCCCUGGCUCUGGGAUAGCCUCCGGAAACGGGGAUUAAUACCGGACAUGACCUGCUGCCGCAUGGUGGCGGGUGGAAAGUUUUUCGGCCAGGGUGGGGCUCGCGGCCUAUCAGCUUGUUGGUGGGGUAAUGGCCCACCAAGGCAACGACGGGUA
rnacentral:rRNA from 1 species